AUCCGAACCCAGUACCUACCAGCCUGUAGACCGAUGGUCUAACCACGACGCCACCGAGGCUGGUCGAGUUGGUGAAAGUUAGAAAAUAUGAUAUACGGUGAAAAGGUUGCUAUACCAAACAAAAGAAAGACCAAUAAAGUAUGUACUGCAUUUGACGUUGCACCAACACAGGAAACGAAUGUGCAGGCAAAUCAUAGGUCGACAGAUACGUCAUUCAAGUUAUGGAUGAUGAACAUCUAAAACAGUAUUUGCCUCGUGUUGCAGUCACAAAAUUUUGCCAAAAACAUAUCAGUCCCAGACAAACUGAUCUUCACAGCA